UAAAGGUCCUGUAGGUGGUUUCCAGCGCUUUCAC
rnacentral:sRNA from 1 species